rnacentral:rRNA from 1 species
UACGUAGGGUGCAAGCGUUAAUCGGAAUUACUGGGCGUAAAGCGUGCGCAGGCGGUUCGGAAAGAAAAGAUGUGAAAUCCCAGAGCUUAACUUUGGAACUGCAUUUUUAACUACCGAGCUAGAGUGUGUCAGAGGGAGGUGGAAUUCCGCGUGUAGCAGUGAAAUGCGUAGAUAUGCGGAGGAACACCGAUGGCGAAGGCAGCCUCCUGGGAUAACACUGACGCUCAUGCACGAAAGCGUGGGGAGCAAACAGG